UUUAAUGAGAGUUUGAUCCUGGCUCAGGACGAACGCUGGCGGCGUGCCUAAUACAUGCAAGUGGAACGCAUUUUAAUCACCGUAGCUUGCUACACCGAUUAAAAUGAGUCGCGAACGGGUGAGUAACGCGUAGGUAACCUACCUCAUAGCGGGGGACAACUAUUGGAAACGAUAGCUAAUACCGCAUAAGACAUUUUAUCGCAUGAUAAGAUGUUAAAAGAUGCAACUGCAUCACUAUGAGAUGGACCUGCGUUGUAUUAGCUAGUUGGUGAGGUAACGGCUCACCAAGGCUGCGAUACAUAGCCGACCUGAGAGGGUGAUCGGCCACACUGGGACUGAGACACGGCCCAGACUCCUACGGGAGGCAGCAGUAGGGAAUCUUCGGCAAUGGGGGCAACCCUGACCGAGCAACGCCGCGUGAGUGAAGAAGGUUUUCGGAUCGUAAAGCUCUGUUGUAAGCGAAGAACAGUGAUAGGAGUGGAAAAUCUAUCACAUGACGGUAGCUUACCAGAAAGGGACGGCUAACUACGUGCCAGCAGCCGCGGUAAUACGUAGGUCUCGAGCGUUGUCCGGAUUUAUUGGGCGUAAAGCGAGCGCAGGCGGUUAGAUAAGUCAGAAGUUAAAGGCUGUGGCUCAACCAUAGUACGCUUUUGAAACUGUCUAACUUGAGUGCAGAAGGGGAGAGUGGAAUUCCAUGUGUAGCGGUGAAAUGCGUAGAUAUAUGGAGGAACACCGGUGGCGAAAGCGGCUCUCUGGUCUGUCACUGACGCUGAGGCUCGAAAGCGUGGGUAGCGAACAGGAUUAGAUACCCUGGUAGUCCACGCCGUAAACGAUGAGUGCUAGGUGUUAGGCCCUUUCCGGGGCUUAGUGCCGCAGCUAACGCAUUAAGCACUCCGCCUGGGGAGUACGACCGCAAGGUUGAAACUCAAAGGAAUUGACGGGGGCCCGCACAAGCGGUGGAGCAUGUGGUUUAAUUCGAAGCAACGCGAAGAACCUUACCAGGUCUUGACAUCCCUCUGACCGGCCUAGAGAUAGGCUUUCCCUUCGGGGCAGAGGUGACAGGUGGUGCAUGGUUGUCGUCAGCUCGUGUCGUGAGAUGUUGGGUUAAGUCCCGCAACGAGCGCAACCCUUAUUGUUAGUUGCCAUCAUUAAGUUGGGCACUCUAGCGAGACUGCCGGUAAUAAACCGGAGGAAGGUGGGGAUGACGUCAAAUCAUCAUGCCCCUUAUGACCUGGGCUACACACGUGCUACAAUGGUUGGUACAACGAGUCGCAAGUCGGUGACGGCAAGCUAAUCUCUUAAAGCCAAUCUCAGUUCGGAUUGUAGGCUGCAACUCGCCUACAUGAAGUCGGAAUCGCUAGUAAUCGCGGAUCAGCACGCCGCGGUGAAUACGUUCCCGGGCCUUGUACACACCGCCCGUCACACCACGAGAGUUUGUAACACCCGAAGUCGGUGAGGUAACCUUUUAGGAGCCAGCCGCCGAAGGUGGGAUAGAUGAUUGGGGUGAAGUCGUAACAAGGUAGCCGUAUCGGAAGGUGCGGCUGGAUCACCUCCUUU
rnacentral:rRNA from 1 species